GACGAACGCUGGCGGCGUGCUUAACACAUGCAAGUUGAACGGAAAGUCUCUGCUCUUGUGUUGUGUUCGAGUGGCUAACGGGUGAUUAACACGUGAGUCACCUUCCCUUGACUUUGGGUUAACUUCAUGAUACUGUUGCUAAUAUUGUAUAGGAGCUCCUUCUGCAUGGUGGGGUUUGUAUAGUUUCGGCGGUUGGGGAUGGAUUCGCGGCGUAUUAGCUGGUUGGUGGGGUAGUGGCUUACCAAGGCUUUGACGGGUAGCCGGCCUGAGAGGGUGACCGGCCGGAUUGGGACUGAGAUACGGCCCAGACUCCGAGGGGAGGCAGCAGUGGGGAAUAUUGCACAAUGGGCGGAAGCCUGAUGAAGCAAGGCAGCGUGAGGGAUGACGGCCUUCGGGUUGUAAACCGCUUAGGCUUGAGACGAAGCAUGAGUGACGGUAAUGGGUGAAGAAGCAACGGCUAACUACGUG
rnacentral:rRNA from 1 species